rnacentral:rRNA from 1 species
GACGUAGGUGGCGAGCGUUAUUCGGAUUUAUUGGGCGUAAAGGGUUCGUAGGGGGUGGUCUAAGUCAGGUGUGAAAGCCCAAGGCUCAACCUUGGAACUGCACCUGAGACUGGGCCGCUAGAGGAUCGUAGAGGAGUGUGGAAUUGCUGGUGUAGCGGUGGAAUGCGUGGAUAUCAGCAGGAACACCAACGGCGAAGGCAGCACUCUGGACGACACCUGACCCUGAGGAACGAAAGCUGGGGGAGCAAACAGG